rnacentral:rRNA from 1 species
UACAGAGGUCCCAAGCGUUGUUCGGAUUCACUGGGCGUAAAGGGUGCGUAGGUGGUGAGGUAUGUCGGAUGUGAAAUCUCCGAGCUCAACUCGGAAAUGGCAUUGGAAACUACCUUGCUCGAGGGUUGGAGGGGGGACUGGAAUGCUUGGUGUAGCAGUGAAAUGCGUAGAUAUCAAGCGGAACACCAGUGGCGAAGGCGAGUCCCUGGACAACUCCUGACACUGAGGCACGAAAGCUAGGGGAGCAAACAGG